ACCUAGCUACUUUCAUAUUAUUGACACAAACUUUAUUUUGUUUUAAGAUAUAUUAGUUUAGCUAUCAUUUGUCAGAAUGAUAUGGAGUUAGCAUCUUCCAAUCCAAUAAUUGUAAUAUAUUUGUUCUUCCUUAUAUUUUCGCUGGUGCUUGUUGGCAAUAAUACCUCUUCUUUCUUCUGUUUAAUUGCAAACAGAUGCAAUGCUAACCCUUUUCCAAAGAAAAAUUUCAUCUUGGUGCUAUAUCAUAUUCUUAAGGAACAUGUUCUGCAAGAAAAUAGUUAAAAUCAGAAAAAAUAAAAAGUUAUUCCCUACAGAUUGUCUUAAAUGAAUUACUAUGGAGGAAAUAUUCUAAUUGGAACUUGUUUAUCAAAUUUCUCCUUGCUUCACUUGUUUUUCUGUGCAUCGGCUUUAUUUUAGUAAUUGUGAGUCUCUUAGUGUGUUGACUACUUUGCUUUUCUUUUUUCAGUAACUUUAUUAGAGGAUAACAUCAUUAAGGUGUCUGUGAUGGCUAUUUAGUGGUUGCCACUUUUUUGUAGAAGAUAUGAGUCACUGGUUGUUGAAAUGAGGCAGAGCUGUAUUUGUCGUUUUUACUUUCCCAGAUUUGCAUGAUGCAGCUGGUGGUGGGGGAGAACCCAAGUACAAAAAGGAAAUAUCUACAGA